rnacentral:rRNA from 1 species
AUGGCCGCGCUGCCGGUGAUGAAGCUGGGGACGCUGCUGCUCCGGACGCUGUCCAAGCCUAUCGCCAACCGCCUCAAGAGCCAGGCCGCCGUCCACCCCAAGUUUCGCGACUUCAUCAUCAGCAUCGCCCAGACAAACCAUCGUAUCACUACAAGGAUACAAAGGCGCAUUUAUGGGCAUGCUACUAAUGUGGCUAUCAGACCUUUAGAUGAGGAGAAGGCAGUACAAGCUGCUACAGAUCUCAUUGGAGAAGGCUUCAUCUUUUCGGUUGCUGUCGCUGCUUUAAUUUUCGAGGUGCAAAGAAGUGCUAGGUCAGAGGCUAGAAAGGAGGAAGCUCGUAAACAGGAACUUGAGGAACUGAGACAAAAGGAAGAGAUUUUAGCUAAAGAUUUAGAAGAUCUCAAGGUGAAGCUGGCUGAACUUGAGCGCCUCGCCAAAGGCCGGGGCCUUUCUGGCAUAUUGAACUUCAAAGGUGUCAAUGCAGCAGAUAGCAGCAAGGAAGCAACACCUGCUUGA